rnacentral:misc_RNA from 1 species
GAUGAAGAACGUAGCGAAAUGCGAUAAGUAGUGUGAAUUGCAGAAUUCAGUGAAUCAUCGAAUCUUUGAACGCACAUUGCGCCCCUUGGUAUCCCGAGGGGCAUGCCUGUUCGAGCGUCAUUUCACCACUCAAGCCUGGCUUGGUGUUGGGCGACGUCCCCUUUGGGGACGCGCCUCGAAACGCUCGGCGGCGUGGCACCGGCUUUAAGCGUAGCAGAAUCUUUCGCUUUGGAAGUCGGGGCCCCGUCUGCCGGAAGACCUACUCGCAAGGUUGACCUCGGAUCAGGCAGGGAUACCCGCUGAACUUAAGCAUAUCAAAAGCGGAGA